GGCCGGGGUCGGGACCGAGGCGGGGGGGGGCCCGCCCCGUCCGCAGGGACUUCUCCGUUGCCGGCCCCAUCCCGCUCGCGGAGCGGCGGGUGCGCGUGGGGACGCCAGGCCUCGGCAGCUCUUUGCGGGAACGGCGCCGUGCGUGUUCCCACCUGCUGAGACGGGAAGUCAAGAUAGUUUGCACUUGAAGGGUACUUGGACAAACCUAGGACACCUGUUAACUUGAGUCAAGCUGGAAUUUGUGUGAAAAGCUGAGCAGUUGCUUCCUGGCUGCUGGGAAAAGAUUCUGCUUUCAGGUUCUCAGGGAUGGUGAUUUGAAGAAUCAGGUUUCCGAUAUGAACAAAGUAAAAACAUCAUCUGAAAAAAGUGUUUCUACCAGUUCUCGGACUAUGUCGCUGCUGUCACAGCUGGAGAAGAUCAAUUUGGACUCUGUGUUAGGAGAAGCAGACAAUGCCAGAUACGUUACCUCAAAGAUCCUUCAUCUGGUUCAGAGUCAAGAAAAAACCAGGAAGGAGAUGACUUCUAAGGGCUCCACUGGAAUAGAAGUUAUCCUGUCAACGCUAGAGAAUACGAAAGAUCCUCAAACUAUUCUAAAUAUAUUGAAUAUUCUUAUUGAGUUAGUCUCCGUUGGUGGUGGUCGGAGAGCCAGCGUCUUAGUCACUAAAGGAGGGACACAGAUCUUACUGCAGCUGCUUUUGACUGCCAGCAAAGACACUCCACCAAAUGAAGACUUAAUGGUGCUUCUUCAUACUCUUCUUGCAAAAAUUGGUCCAAAAGACAAAAAGAUUGGCAUGAAAGCAAGAAUUAAUGGUGCCCUCAACAUAUCAUUGAAUUUAGUGAAGCAGAAUUUGCAGAACCACAGGCUAAUACUGCCAUGUCUUCAAGUAUUAAGAGUUUACUCAACCAACUCUGUAAAUGCAGUGUCCUUGGGAAAGAAUGGAGUAGUAGAACUGAUGUUUAAGAUCAUUGGCCCUUUUAGUAAAAAGAACACUAGCCUUAUGAAGGUUGCUUUAGACACACUUGCUGCAUUGCUAAAAUCAAAAACAAAUGCCAGGAGAGCAGUAGACAGAGGAUAUGUGCAGGUGCUUUUAACAAUUUAUGUUGAUUGGCACCGUCAUGAUAGUCGACACAGAUACAUGCUGAUACGUAAAGGAAUUUUACAGUGCAUUAAAAGUGUUACAAACAUCAAACUGGGAAGAAAAGCAUUCAUUGAUGCCAAUGGGAUGAAAAUUCUUUACAACACUUCACAAGAGUGCCUUGCAGUAAGAACUCUUGAUCCUCUUGUCAACACAUCCAGCCUAAUAAUGAGAAAAUGUUUUCCUAAAAAUCGUCUUCCUUUACCAACUAUUAAAAGUUCUUUCCAUUUCCAACUCCCAGUUAUUCCUGCCAGUGGUCCUGUGGCUCAGCUGUACAGCUUGCCUCCUGAUGUGGAUGAUGUAGUAGAUGAAAGUGAUGAUAACGAUGACGCUGAAACAGAAUCAGAAAUUGAAACCGAAAAUGAUGACAGGGACCAACAUUUUAAGAAUGAUGAUAUUGAGACUGAUAUUAAUAAACUGAAACCUAGACAGGAAUUGGGAAGACCCAUAGAAGAACUGAAAAUAUAUGAGCAAUUCUUCCCAGAACUUUCAGAAAACUUUCAGGAAUGUGACUUAGUUUCCAAGGAACCAAAGCCUUUUGUACCUGAUGCAAAUCUGUGUGGACCUAUUGUUGUUCCUACAGCAGGAGAGGAGCACUCUGCUGAAGCAAACCAGUCAAUGAAAGGAGUUGUUUUAAAGGAGAGCAAUCCUUUAUUGGCAGAGGAAUACAAUAGAAGGCCAGCCUUUCUGGAACUACCAAAGAAAGAUAGUAUCAAAGACAGUAGUUUACAUCAGCAAAAUGAUCAAAGAAAUCUGCUUCCGUCAUGUCAGUGUCUAAGCCAAGAAAUUGUGAAAGGCUUGGACAGAAUCAGUCUGCAGAGCAGUGCAAAAAAUGACCAGUAUUAUUCUACAGGGUGUAUAAUAAAGAAGGAAAGCAAAACUAGCCUUACCACGCUUGCUUGUAGUAAACCUUGCGAACAUGUUUCACCCUGUGGAAGCAGCCUCUUUGAAGGAUCAUCUGUCCAGCUGGGAAAACUCUGCUGCACUGGAGUGGAUUCAGAGGAGGAGGAUUCCAGAUCUAGUUCAUCAGGGGAACAAGUUGUGCUUGAGGUUUCUGAUGUAUCACCAGUUCAUGACUGUGAUCUUUAUAUUGAAAUGGUAAAAACCACAAAGUCUAUACCUGAAUAUUCAGAAGUGGCCUAUCCAGAUUAUUUUGGCCAUAUUCCACCCCCAUUUAAGGAGCCUAUUCUGGAAAGGCCAUAUGGGGUGCAGAGGACAAAAAUCUCUCAAGAUAUUGAAAGACUGAUUCAUCAAAAUGACAUUAUAGACAGAGUUGUGUAUGACCUUGAUAAUUUGAGUUGUUCAGUACCAGAGGAAGCAGAUGUCUUGAAGUUUAAUUCCAAAUUUGAAUCAGGAAACCUGCGCAAAGUUAUUCAGAUCAGAAAAAACGAGUAUGAUCUAAUUCUGAACUCGGAUAUAAAUAGCAAUCAUUAUCAUCAGUGGUUUUACUUUGAAGUUAGUGGAAUGAAAACUGGCAUUGGUUACCGGUUUAACAUCAUCAACUGUGAAAAGUCAAACAGUCAGUUUAACUAUGGUAUGCAGCCCCUCAUGUAUUCUGUCCAAGAAGCAUUAAAUUCUCGACCAUGUUGGACUCGUGUUGGGACAGACAUUUGUUACUAUAAGAAUCAUUUUUCAAGAAGUUCAAUUGCUGCUGGAGGUCAGAAAGGAAAAUCUUACUACACAAUUACGUUCACAGUGACUUUCCAACAUAAAGAUGAUGUUUGCUACUUUGCUUACCACUAUCCAUAUACAUACUCAACUUUAAAGAUGCAUCUUCAGAAGCUGGAAUCUAUGCACAACCCUCAACAGAUAUAUUUUCGACAAGACGUUCUCUGUGAGACCCUGGCUGGCAACAGUUGUCCCUUAGUCACUAUUACAGCCAUGCCAGAGUCCAAUUACUAUGAACAUAUCUGUCAGUUCAGGAAUCGUCCUUAUGUUUUCCUAUCUGCUCGUGUACAUCCUGGAGAGACUAAUGCAAGCUGGGUUAUGAAGGGAACGCUGGAAUACCUUAUGAGCAAUAAUCCAAGCGCCCAAUGUUUACGAGAAUCUUAUAUUUUCAAAAUUAUUCCUAUGCUCAAUCCAGAUGGUGUCAUCAAUGGAAACCACCGUUGCUCUUUAAGUGGAGAAGAUUUAAACAGACAGUGGCAAAAUCCAAAUCCAGAUCUGCAUCCCACUAUUUACCAUGCUAAAGGGUUACUGCAAUAUCUGGCUGCUAUAAAGCGUUUACCUUUGGUCUACUGUGAUUAUCAUGGUCACUCUCGUAAAAAGAAUGUAUUUAUGUAUGGUUGCAGCAUCAAAGAGACAAUGUGGCACACCAAUGUUAAUGCUGCCUCUUGUGACCUGAUUGAAGACCCCGGUUACAGGGCACUGCCCAAGAUCCUGAGUCAAACUGCCCCAGCAUUCUGCAUGGGCAGCUGCAGCUUUGUAGUGGAAAGGUCCAAGGAAUCAACAGCGAGAGUUGUUGUCUGGAGAGAGAUAGGAGUACAAAGGAGCUACACAAUGGAAAGCACGUUAUGUGGAUGUGACCAGGGCAAAUAUAAGGGAUUGCAGAUAGGGACAAGAGAACUGGAGGAGAUGGGAGCAAAGUUUUGUGUUGGCUUACUGCGUUUAAAAAGAAUGGCCUCACCUUUGGAAUACAAUCUGCCUUCUAGUCUGUUGGAUAUUGAAAAUGAGCUGAUUGAGUCAAGCUGUAAAGUGACGAGGGGUUCUGGAUAUGUAUCAUCUGAAGGCUGCCUAACCAGGAAGAAAAAAUGGAUCAGGCCUUCUAUAGACAGCUAGAAGCAGCCUCAUGUUUGCAAGCCCUGGUCCUUGUGGGGGACUUCAACCACCCCAAUAUCUGCUGGAGGAACAACACAGCAGGGCAUAAGUAAUCUGGGAGCUUCCUGGAGAGCACUGAUGACAACUUCCAGACCCAAGUCAUACAAGAACCAGCAAGGAGAGGUCCUUUGCUGGAUCUGGUACUCACAAACAAGAAUGUGCUGGUUUGGAUGUGAAUGUUGAAGGCAGCCUUGGCUGCAGUGACCAAGAGAUGAUGGGAGUUCAGGUUCUCAAGAGGAGGGAGCAGGGCAAAGAUCAUAACCCUGGGCUUGAGGAGAGUUCAGGGAUCUGCUUGGAAGAGUCCCAUGGAAUAAGACCCUGGAGGGAAGAGGGGCCCAGGAAAGCUGGUGGAUGUUCAAGGACCUCUCCUGGCAAAACUCAAACAUGUAAAGGUGUUGUGGUUUAAGCCCAGCCGGUAACAAAGCACCAUGUAGCCACUUGCUCACUCCUCCCCACCCUGGUGUCCGGUGGGAUGGGGAGGAGAAUCAGAAAGGAGAAAAGAAAAAAAUGGAACCUCAUGGGUUGAGAUAAGGACAGUUUACUGGGACAACACAAGGAGAGAAGUUACAACAACAACAAUGGUACUAUUAAAAGAAUAUACAAAACAAGUGAUGCACAGUGCAACUUCUCACCACCUGGAACCUGACAUUCCGACACUUCCCACACCAGGAGAGAGAGAGCCCCUGGCCCCACAGCCCACUCCCCAUCUAUAUACUGAGCAUGAUGUCACAUGGUAUGGAAUAGCUCCUUGGCUAGUUCAGGUCAGCUGUCCUGGCUGUGCCUCCUCCCAGCUUCCUGUGAAGAUUAACUCUAUCCCAACCGAACCCAGGACAAAAGGAAAUACAUAGAAGGUGGAAGCAGAGACAGCUAACCUGGGAGGAAUAUAGAGACGCUGUCUGAGUAUGCAGAGACAUGGUUAGGAAGGAUAAAGUCCACCUGGAGCUGCAUCUGGCAUGGGAUGUUAAAGGCAACAAGGAGGGCUUCUAUAAGUACGUAGGUAGUAAAAGGGAGACUAGGGAAAAUGUGGGCCCACUGCUGAAUGCGGCAGGAGCCCCAUGACACAGCACAUGAAAAAGGCUGAGUUACUGAAUGCCUUCUUCACCUUAGUCUUUGCUAACAAAACUGGCUUUCAGUAAUCUAAGGACCCAGGGACAAGGGAAAGUCUGGAGCAAGGAAGACUUAUGCUUGGUGGAAGAGGAACAAGUUGGAGAAUACUUAGGCAAACUGGGCUUGCAUAAGUCCAUAGGUCCUGAUGAGAUGCACCCAGAAGUGCUUGGAGAGCUUGCUGAUGUCACUGCGAGGGCACUCUCAAUAAUCCUUGAAUGAUCGUGGUGAUCGAGACAGGUGCCUGAAGAAAAGCAAAUUUCAUUCCGGUCUUCAAGAAGACGGAGAAGGAAGACGUAGGGAACUACAGGCUGGUCAGCCUCACUUUGAUCAUUGGGAAGGUGAUGAAACAACUAAUCCUCGAAAGCGUUUCCAGCCACAUGAAGGAGGAGGAGAUUGUGAGUAAUCAACACGGAUUCACUAAGGGAAGUCAUGCUUGACCAACCUGAUAACCUUCUACAAUGAAAUGACUGUCUUGGUAGACAUGGGGAAUGAAGUGGAUAUUGUCUGCCUUGACUUCAGUAAGGUUUUUGACACUGCCAUAGGAUCCUUGUAGAGAAGCUGAUGAAGUAUGGGCUGUAUGGGCAGACAGUGAGGUGGAUUGAAGACUGGCUGAACAACUGGGCCCAGAGGGUGGCUAUCAGAAGCACAAAGUCUAGUUGGAGGCCAGUAACUCGUGGUGUACCCCAGGGCACAAUACUGGGUCCACUCCUGUUUAACAUCUGCAUUGAUGACCUGGACGAUGUGGCAGGUCCUGUCAUGGUUUAAGCCCAGCCGGCAAGGUGUACCCUCAGCAAGUUUCCAGAUGAUGCUGGACUAGGAGUGGCUGAUCCAGAGGGGCCUUGACAGGCUCUAGAAAUGGGCCGACAGGAAUCUCAUGAAGUUCAGCAAUAAAUGUGAAGUCCUCCACCUGGGGAGGAGCAACCCCAGGCACCAGUACAUGCUGGGGGUACCAUCUGGAAAUAAGCUUUGCAGAAAAGGCCAUGGGAGUCAUAGCGGACACCAAGUUGAACAUGAGCCAGCAAUGUACCCUGGCUGCAAAGAAGGCUAAUGGUAUCCUAGGCUUCAUUAGGACGAGUGUAGCCAGCAGGUUGAGGGACAUCAUUCUUCCCUUCUCCUCAGCACUGGUGAGGCCAUACCUGGAGUACUGUGUCCAGCUUUGGGUUCCCUAGUACAAGAGAGACAUGGACAUAGUGGAGAGAGUCCAGUGAGGGGCCCCUAAGAUGAUGAAGGGAUUGAAGCAUCUCCCAUAGGAGGAAAGGCUGGGAGAGCAGGGACUGUUAGUCUGGAGAAGAGAAGGCUCAGGGGGCAUCUUAUCAAGGUGUACAAAUAUCUGAAAGGAGGUUGUAAAGAUAGAGUCAGGCUCUUUUCCAGUGGUGUCUGGUGACAGGCUAAGAGGUAAUGAGCACAAACUAUAGAGGAAAUUCUAUUUAAGCAUUAUAUAUAUAUAUAUAAUGUGAAAAGGGGGAAAUGUCUUUAAGUCUGUCCUCAAAAGACACUUGAGUGCUGGUGUUGUGGGCCUCUUCAAAUUGGAGUCCUAGUUUAGGCAAUUAGAAUACAAGGUUCUAAAAUCACAAUCUAGUUGCAUUUCUCUCCCUCAGAACUUUCACAGGCAAGCUUCUGAUCCUUUGGCAUUUCUGUCAUAUACUCUUUAAUAUUUUGUAAAUACGAUUUCUUCCAUAAAUACAGGCUGGCUGUAAGGCAGUUUCACUUGACAGCUCUUGUGGAUGGCCUCUAAAUGAUAGUCUUUCAGCAAGGGCAUGUGUUUGUUUCUUGAGUUCCUUGUGUGCAUUGAUGCAGCACGUUGAACUCAAAAUUUAAUACUGACAUGUUACACCUACUUAUCAUACUUUACAGCUUUUAAAAGUUUUACUUUUUUUUUUUUUCAUUUGCGGCUACUAUUAUGUGUUAAUGAGAUUAUAAUAUUUUUCCCAUCCGUAAGUGUUAUAUUGUCAAUUUUAUUAGAACUAAGCUUCAGUAUAAAUGCAUCUCUUUGAAAUAUUAAACCUCAGUUACAGCAUUUUGAAUCAAGAUGUGGUUGUGAGUAAUUAAUUAUCAGGGUGGCAUUGAAAAACAGCCCCAGAUGUCCACAUAAAUUUAUAUUAAUAACUGCCUCAGAUAUAGAAUCUGUAUUUUAUAUUAUCUCUCUGGAGAAAGUUAGCAUCCUGGGUCAUAGGUGUGCUGUGCUUCGGAAGAAAAUUACGUGCUGGAUUUCUCAGUUUGUUAAUGUUACUUAUGAUGGAGUGGCCUUAAAACAGCACCUGUUGAAUUGGGGUAUGUCAUACAUAAGUCACUCCCCAUAGGAUCUGCCGGAGAGCUGAAGAUGCAUCAGAAACACUUUAGUAUCAGGAUGGGAUAAAAAAGGGUGAGGAGUCACGUACCAGCCAGCCUUCUAACAUACCACUUUGCAUGAACACAUGCACAAAAAAUCCAGUUCUGAAGCUAUUUGAAGGAAGUGAAUAAAAAAAGGAACUGGAGUUCUUGACCUUCUUCCCAGGGUAGUGGGGUGAGAAGCAACUGGUUAUGCUUUACCGCUCUGGUUAAGCUUUUAACUGAUCCACAAACUGUAGACAAUUAGGUGCAAUUGUGGUAAAGAAGUAGAAAAACUGUUGUCUGGAUUAAAUGUUGGUGCUAGAUGUUAGCUUAAACUAAGACCAGGGUUACUGCUUUCUAGUAUUUCUGAAACUUUCAACAGAUCAGCACAAUCAUUUAUUAAGAGAGAUUUUCUUGUUUCGGUGAAACUAAACUUUACUGUAAAGGUAAUAGUUAUGAUCCUGAUUCUGGAAUAGGAUCUCCGAAGUUAGUCUGUACACAAGUUGAUCAGCUGCUUUGAAAGCAUGUACAAGCAUAAACACAAUCCUUUGGACUUAAUGGUUCUUCCAUUUUGGACUUUUAAAGCACACUGUUUAUGAUGGGUAUGGAAGUGCCUCCAGUGAGUAAAAGUCUAUUACUGCUUUCUGUUUGAUAGCAAACUCGAGUAACACUAGAUGAGAAAAGGAAUAAAUGGGAAGGUGGGUUGUUUUGAUGUUACGAAAUAAAGCAAAUCCUGGAGAGAGGUAUGUGAACAGACAUGUAUAGUUUGAAUUUCCUUUCCUUCUCCACCUAAAAUACUUCAUUAAUCCAGCUAGCUCUAUAAAAACCAAAAUGAACUGCAUGUAAAGUGCUGGGGCAGGGGGGAAACUGCUUCUGACUUGAUUUACAUUUUGUUGGUGGAAGUAAGGGGCAUGGGGACUGUUUUAUACUGGAUUUUCUGAAAGCACUGAUGAAAGACUUACUAUUGCAAAAACACAAUGUAGCUGGUUUGGCACAUGUGAGCAUAGAUGAAAAAUAACAUGAGGCUCAUAAUAAGGUUAAUAUUAUUGAGGCUGUACAUGGAAAUAUUUAGAAUCCUUUUGUGUGAGGAAGGUAACUGGUACUCAGGAACUUCAAAAAACAGGAAGGUUCAGUCUCCACCCCAAAAGACUGGGUCACGAAAAUCACAGAAGUAAUUGUACUGCAAGACAAAAUUUUAAGUUGAGAGAUGAAUGAAAAACUUCAUUCAAUGUUUUGAAACUGAAUUUGUAUAUAGAAAAAAAAAUAGUUUCCUAAUCCUGACCUUUGGCUAUAGAUAGUGAAAGGUACUGAUAAAUGCUUCUGCACUAAAGAAAUUAAGGCAGUAGAAAAAAAAAAUCAGAUUCUGUGCAUGUUAGAGUUACGAUUUUUAUCAGAUAAGGAACAUUGACAUAAGAAAUACUGAGCUUUAUUGGAGAGAUCUGUUAACAACUGUUUAGAUUUUUCUAAUGUCUGAUGGCUUUGUUUCUUAAAUUUAUUAAAUGUAAAUCUAUUAAAUGUAAAUUUACUUUAUAACACUAAAAUACAGAAAUAUGUAGCAUGAAGUGAGAAAAUAGGUACCUUGCUCUCAGUGUUCAUUUAGCAAUACUGUGUAUCUAUGUGAGAAUCUGUGGUGAAAAAACUAAAUGUGUAAAUUCCAAGAACUUGUCUUUAAAAUGUGGCAUUAAGACUGAAAUAUGUUGUGUAUUUGUACCUGAUUCUCUAUGUUCUGAACCCAUCUUAAAAAUGAUUUGAUAAUCAUAAUUAUUUAUAGAGAGAUUCAUGUCAUUGAAUUCAGUGGAAAUGCUUAUUUGAAAAGUGAGAGUGGAAUCAGACACCUAAGACAGCAUGUUUUUCAGAGAAAAGUGCAAACUAUACUGCUUUUUGUGUCACUACUGGAAUAUUGACCUAAUAUCACACUGUUCCUUUUUUCAAGUGUGAAUUUUCUUAAACUUUAUGUGUAACUAGAGCAGUUUUAUGUACAGCCACUGAUUUGUCUGUACCUGCUGAUGCAUCAUUAAACAGAUUUAUUUAACCAAAGUUA